rnacentral:rRNA from 1 species
GACGUAGGGCGCGAGCGUUGUCCGGAUUUAUUGGGCGUAAAGAGCGUGUAGGCGGCUAGAUAGGUCCGUUGUGAAAACUCGAGGCUCAACCUCGAGACGCCGAUGGAAACCAUCCAGCUAGAGUCCGGAAGAGGAGAGUGGAAUUCCUGGUGUAGCGGUGAAAUGCGCAGAUAUCAGGAAGAACACCCGUGGCUAAGGCGGCUCUCUAGUACGGUACUGACGCUGAGACGCGAAAGCGUGGGGAGCAAACAGG